UACGUAGGGGGCAAGCGUUGUCCGGAUUUAUUGGGCGUAAAGAGCGUGUAGGCGGCUUGGAAGGUCAGCUGUGAAAACUCGAGGCUCAACCUCGAGACGUCGGUUGAAACCACCUGGCUAGAGUCCGGAAGAGGAGAGUGGAAUUCCCGGUGUAGCGGUGAAAUGCGCAGAUAUCGGGAAGAACACCCGUGGCUAAGGCGGCUCUCUAGUACGGUACUGACGCUGAGACGCGAAAGCGUGGGGAGCGAACAGG
rnacentral:rRNA from 1 species